rnacentral:tRNA from 1 species
UCCCUGGUGGCUCAGAUGGUAAAGCAUCUGCCUGCAAUGUGGAAGACCCGAGUUCAAUCCCUGGGUUGGGAA